UACGAGGGGGGCAAGCGUUGUUCGGAAUUAUUGGGCGUAAAGGGCGCGUAGGCGGUGCGGUAAGUCACCUGUGAAAACUCUGGGCUUAACCCAGAGCCUGCAUCCAAAACUGGCGAACUGGAGUACUGGAGGGGAAAGCGGAAUUCCUGGUGUAGCGGUGAAAUGCGUAGAUAUCAGGAGGAACACCGGUGGCGAAGGCGGCUUUCUGGACAGUAACUGACGCUGAGGCGCGAAAGCCGGGGGAGCAAACAGG
rnacentral:rRNA from 1 species